UACAGAGGCCUCGAGCGUUAGGCGGAAUCACUGGGCUUAAAGGGUGCGCAGGCGGUGGCCCGCGUGGGCGGUGAAAGCUCCUGGCUCAACUGGGAGAGGGCCGUCCAGACGGGGUCACUUGAGGGGCGGAGAGGGGCGUGGAAUUCCGGGUGGAGCGGUGAAAUGCGUAGAGAUCCGGAGGAACACCGACGGCGAAGGCAGCGCCCUGGCCGCCAUCUGACGCUCAGGCACGAAAGCUGGGGGAGCGAACAGG
rnacentral:rRNA from 1 species